UUUUUUUCUUAUGCUCAAAACUCUUCUUCUCAUUAUCAUGCUUGAAUCUCAAUGAUUUUUUUUUCCUGUUUGCUGGAUUUUACUGGCGUGCGAUCGCGCGGGGAGGGAAAUGUUCGGUUCUGUGAUAAAGUCAACCAAAAAUUUCAACACCAAUAGGAGAAUGCGGCAAUACUUGGAGGAAGCACCAUGUGUGGAAAGUCUUGGGUGCAAUUUUUGUCUCCUUCAUAAACGAUCCACGAUCGUCGCAAAAUGUUUCCCCCGCGCCGUUUUAUUGUGCUCAUCCAACACAUCAAUUAAGUUGAAGAAAAAUAUCAUUUUUGAUGUCACUGGCAGACGCACAAUGAAUGGAUAAAAUGAACCCUGCACAUGAUCGUAAAAUAUUGAGACUGGCAACAAUUAAAUUCAAUGCCUGGCAAAUUUGCGUGGUGGGAGCGCGAGUCAACAAGAAGGAUUACCACGACAGAAUUUAUUGUAAUGAUCGUUUUUUGGUUCUCUUUUUUUUUCACCCGCCAAGAUAAAUAUAUUCGCCCCAACAGAGAGGCUCUUUGUGUGCAAUCUUUCUUUCACACAAAAAAUACUUUAAUACUUUUUUGCAUGGCGCGAUUUUUUUUCUGCGUCAAGUCGCGCGUGCAAAAAACACGACUCAUUUCUGCAUCCAAAGCCAUGGGGUCAGCAAUCCUGGCCAGGGUCAAUCUCCUCGGAUAUUUUCAGGUGACAACAUUUUUGUGAGAGCGCUUUAUAUUGGGAGUUCACCAACGCACUUUAUCUUGUCCCAGCGUCACCGAAAAUGAGCAUUUCACAAUAAAAAAACCUGGAUGGUGGGAGGAAAUGAUUGAAAUUUUCUCGUACUAGUCACACUAUCACAGCCCCAAGGUUAAUUGCUCCAUGCAGGAAUUUCAUUGAGCAGGACAAAUAUGACGAGCUCAUACAGUUCAACAUCGAAUUCCAAUUUACUUUCAGGUCGACAGAAAAAGGGGAGAAUAAGUGACUUAAUUUAGGUGCUCCCACUGAAAUUUAUGCCUCAGCACCGUACAAUAAUUUAUUACCAUCUCUUUGAAUCCUUGUCCGUAAUUGACCACUAGCUCACCCAGUGGAGGUACUAUUUGGAAAUAUGUUAAUUGUACACCAAGCUAAUUGGAUGUAAAGAGAAUAAAAAAUAAAGACCUUAUC